GCGUCCCAUCUUCCCCCACCCCACUAUAUAUAACACAAUAAGUGCCCUAGUAUAUAAUAAUUGCAUAACGCUAGCCAAAUCUUUAUCGUAUACUGACAAUUAAAACGUUUUAAGUUUUCUUGUUUUCCGUUCUGUACGACUGUAGCUGUAAUAAUAGUAAUCCAUAUCCUAACAACCCAUUUGCACGACUAAAAACGUUAUUCAAAUUUCAUAAAAAUCCGACGAAAAAAGCAUUGCAACUUCUGUAUUAAAAACCUCAUGCGUAUAUCUUUACAUUAAAUAAACACUAAAAUCGCAUGGUAAACUUUCAAGUUCGUUGUUGGCAUUUUAUAAAACUGGCAAAUACUGCACUAAACGUACAUGCAUUAAACUUUUACGUAUCAUGGGUUUUUAAAACCACUAAAUCAGCAUGUUAGGACUUUCCAAAAUUUCUGAGUAACUAAAAACAGUAAGCCUUUCUAUUACGCGCACGAAUGCGCAGCUCAGUACUUCCCGUUUUACGCUUCGGUUGCGUCUUAAUAUAGGUUCAGGUUAGCCUCCUUUUCUGCGGUCUAAAAACAACACCCAAAACGAGAUGCCUCCUUUAUGUAUUGGGUAAUAUAGAAAUGUUUAUAACUGGCCAUAGUACUGUAGUGUAAGAUGGGAUAACUUUUCGCACAUAAUAACCCAUAUUUCCUAAUCGUUUUUUGUAACAAUUAACAACGCGCUUUUAGGGUCGUGAGGAUACAGUCAUAUAAUUUUACCAAUGUUAUUUGUUUACUACCAAAUGGGACGAAAAUAUGUCUCUACGUUAAUUAUGUUAAUCAAAUGCCGCAAGUUUCGCUCAAAAAGUUACAUACGCGGUAACUCGUAAGCAGGCAUGCGGUGUCUGAAACAGAACACUCAAGUUAUAAUGACUGUUUUUGCCCGCCACGCGAGGAAAACCAUUUAUUUAAAUGUGCCCUGCGCCUUAAACCAGCAGUGUUUCCGCGAUGUUAAAAUAUUAAACGGAGAUGAAGAGAAAACGAAGUAAAAAAUGACAGGAAACACUGAAAUUCUAAGCGUUGAUUGCCUCACCCCGCUUUUCGUUUACCAUGCUUAUAAAACCGAAGCAAUUGAGCCACACGUACACAACGACCACACUUCGGAUGCUGCUGUUACUUCAACUGCUACAAUGUACGGUAUUGGAUUUAAUCUCAAGGAUUUGCUCGACAGUUCUUUAUUACGUCAGUUGAUACGUCACCUGCGACGUGGCAUCGGAAUGUUAAUAUUGCGUUCGUUACGUCACAA